UGCAAGUCGAGGGGUAUUGGUUUUCGGACCAAGAGACCGGCGCACGGGUGCGUAACGCGUAUGCAAUCUACCUUUUACAGGGGGAUAGCCCAGAGAAAUUUGGAUUAAUACCCCAUGGUAUAAUAUUUCGGCAUCGGGAUAUUAUUAAAGUCACAACGGUAAAAGAUGAGCAUGCGUCCCAUUAGCUAGUUGGUAAGGUAACGGCUUACCAAGGCAACGAUGGGUAGGGGUCCUGAGAGGGAGAUCCCCCACACUGGUACUGAGACACGGACCAGACUCCUACGGGAGGCAGCAGUGAGGAAUAUUGGUCAAUGGGCGCAAGCCUGAACCAGCCAUGCCGCGUGCAGGAUGACGGUCCUAUGGAUUGUAAACUGCUUUUGUACGAGAAGAAACAACAUUACGUGUAAUGUCUUGACGGUAUCGUAAGAAUAAGGAUCGGCUAACUCCGUGCCAGCAGCCGCGGUAAUACGGAGGAUCCAAGCGUUAUCCGGAAUCAUUGGGUUUAAAGGGUCCGUAGGCGGUUUUGUAAGUCAGUGGUGAAAGCCCAUCGCUCAACGGUGGAACGGCCAUUGAUACUGCAAGACUUGGAUUACUAGGAAGUAACUAGAAUAUGUAGUGUAGCGGUGAAAUGCUUAGAGAUUACAUGGAAUACCAAUUGCGAAGGCAGGUUACUACUAGUGGAUUGACGCUGAUGGACGAAAGCGUGGGUAGCGAACAGGAUUAGAUACCCUGGUAGUCCACGCCGUAAACGAUGGAUACUAGCUGUUGGGAGCAAUCUCAGUGGCUAAGCGAAAGUGAUAAGUAUCCCACCUGGGGAGUACGGGCGCAAGCCUGAAACUCAAAGGAAUUGACGGGGGCC
rnacentral:rRNA from 1 species